AAUGCAUACACAUGACUUCUUUUAGAGAACCACUGAAUGGAAUGAAACCAAACAUGGCAUGAAUGUUCGUUAUGAGGUGCUGACCAAGUGUUGUUACUUUGUAGCCGAUCCAUCAUUCAAGAUGGACGCCAGCGGGGGACUUAGUUUAACAUAGGACCCUAUGGGAAAUGCAUACAAAUGACUUCUUUUAGAAAACCACUGAAUGAAAUGAAACCAAACAUGGCAUGAAUGUUCCUUAUGUGGUUCUGACCAAGUGUUGUUACUUUAUAGCUGAUCCAUCAUUCAAGAUGGCCGCCUGCGGGGA
rnacentral:lncRNA from 1 species